AAUACCAGUGAUGCGAUCUGGGGAGCUGGACAGUUAAGUCAUUAAUAGCUCUAGGAAAUAGAUGUUCUGCAAACAUUUUAUUGUCUUCUUAACCUAGAUUGAAUUUUCGUUAUCCCUUACUUUGCCUGAGCAUGUGACAAAGUGGCUUAUGUGAACAAAGUACUAGGACGAAGUCCAAGUUUGGCUGAAACUAAAACAAGCCAGUAAUUAGUGUACUUGCAUUCCCAUAUGGCUGUGUGAUUACUUACUUGCCCUCUUUGUGAGCUAAGCUGAUAGAAAUCACUGAAUCAUGGAUGGGAAGACUGCAUGCAAAAUGACAAAAUGUGAUGCAGAUGCGCAAAAUGCUGUUGCAACUUUCAAGAAACUUUGAAAAUCCAUUUACACAUCAUUGAAAGUUGGGAUGGCUUCUCUGUGGAUAAAAGUCAGAUGCAGGAUAAAUACUAAGCAGGCUCCCUUCUUCCUUUGAUGGUCACCAUUAGUAUCUUGAGGCAGAGAUCCUAGAGGUCUGUGCAGCUAGAAAAGCUUCCUGCUCCCUCCUCCAUCUGGUGAUUCUGCCUUUCAAAUGGGAUGCAGAGCAAAUUGCAGUGACGCAGAAAUCUGAAGAAAUAUUACUUCUUCACACUUGGAAUUGGACAUAUUUCUCCUAGAGAGCAUCUGCAGUGAUUGUGUAAUUCUUACAAGAAGAGAAGAAUCAGAACAGUGUGCUUGAAACAUCAUUGAGAUGCUCAAGGAGAAAUGAAAUGUGAAAGUCAGCACAAGACCGGGUAUUUGCAAUGCACCUGUACAGUCUUGCCAUGGUAGAGAUGUGUAUCAGUUUUUUUUGUGAGGCUUCAUAGAGUGAAAUGGAUACCAUUGUGUUGACAGUGCUAAAGAACUUGUGAAAAGCAGCAUCUGCUGUCCUAGUUCAAACAGGUCAUUAUUAUCCAUGAACAAAUAUGAAGGUGACAAUUAGUGACUGCUAAGCUUCCUUUUGGUUAUUCUCUUGGCCUGAGUCCUAAAGACACUACAUUACCAGAGCAGAAAAUGGAGUCUUGGGGAUUAAGUGCUGAAGACUCUCUCCCUUAACUUACUUCCUCCUUUAUCAGACACAGCUGAUUAGAUAGGAAGGUGUGCUGGCUGGCGCCUUCCCAUCCGACUUGUUUUUGUACCUUUCUGCUGUGUAGUGCUGGGUCAUGUUCCUAUUCAUUUUUCAUGACCUUUCCUCAUUACACCCUUUUCAAUUGCAGCUUGUUUCUGUGACCUUGGAGUCUUACGGGCCAAUCCAAAAGAUCAGGCACUGUGUUUUUAAGUUACCUUCUGAAAAGGCUGGAAACACAGAGACAUUUUUGUGCAAAGUUUAUGGGUAUGUGUAUCUUUUACUCUUUUUUUUUUUAUCAUGUAAUAUUUGGCUCAGUGCUGUAGACUAUUUUUGGAGCCUGUUAGCAACUUUAUGUAUUCUUGUUGAAUGAAUUGAAUGACU